UACAGAGGUCCCAAGCGUUGUUCGGAUUUACUGGGCGUUAAAGGGUGCGUAGGUGGCGGGGUAAGUCUGGUGUGAAAUCUCCGAGCUCAACUCGGAAAAGCAUUGGAAACUAUCCCGCUAGAGGGUCGGAGGGGAGACUGGAAUUCUCGGUGUAGCGGUGAAAUGCGUAGAUAUCGAGAGGAACACCUGCGGCGAAGGCGGGUAGCUGGGCCGACACUGACGCUGAGGCGCGAAAGCCAGGGGAGCGAACGGG
rnacentral:rRNA from 1 species